rnacentral:rRNA from 1 species
AGUGAACGCUGGCGGUAGGCCUAACACAUGCAAGUCGAACGGCAGCACAGUAAGAGCUUGCUCUUACGGGUGGCGAGUGGCGGACGGGUGAGGAAUACAUCGGAAUCUACUUUCUCGUGGGGGAUAACGUAGGUAAACUUACGCUAAUACCGCAUACGACCUACGGGUGAAAGCAGGGGAUCUUCGGACCUUGCGCGAUUGAAUGAGCCGAUGUCGGAUUAGCUAGUUGGCGGGGUAAAGGCCCACCAAGGCGACGAUCCGUAGCUGGUCUGAGAGGAUGAUCAGCCACACUGGAACUGAGACACGGUCCAGACUCCUACGGGAGGCAGCAGUGGGGAAUAUUGGACAAUGGGCGCAAGCCUGAUCCAGCCAUACCGCGUGGGUGAAGAAGGCCUUCGGGUUGUAAAGCCCUUUUGUUGGGAAAGAAAAGCAGCAGGUUAAUACCCCGCUGUUCUGACGGUACCCAAAGAAUAAGCACCGGCUAACUUCGUG